GUCGAGAAUCUUUCACAAUGGGGGCAACCCUGAUGGAGCGACGCCGCGUGGAGGAUAAGGUCUUCGGAUUGUAAACUCCUGUCAUGCGUGAACAAGGUUGCUUGGUUAAUACCUGGGCAAAUUGAUGGUAACGCAAGAGGAAGAGACGGCUAACUCUGUGCCAGCAGCCGCGGUAAUACAGAGGUCUCAAGCGUUGUUCGGAAUCACUGGGCGUAAAGGGUGCGUAGGUGGCGAGGUAAGUCAGAUGUGAAAGCCCGGGGCUCAACGUCGGAACUGCAUCCGAUACUGCCAUGCUAGAGUACUGGAGAGGUGACUAGAAUUCUCGGUGUAGCAGUGAAAUGCGUAGAUAUCGAGAGGAAUACCAAAGGCGUAGGCAGGUCACUGGACAGUUACUGACACUGAGGCACGAAGGCCAGGGGAGCGAACGGGAUUAGAUACCCUAGUAGUCC
rnacentral:rRNA from 1 species